rnacentral:rRNA from 1 species
UUGAACGCUGGCGGCAGGCCUAACACAUGCAAGUCGAGCGGAUGAAGGGAGCUUGCUCCUGGAUUCAGCGGCGGACGGGUGAGUAAUGCCUAGGAAUCUGCCUGGUAGUGGGGGAUAACGUCCGGAAACGGGCGCUAAUACCGCAUACGUCCUGAGGGAGACAGUGGGGGAUCUUCGGACCUCACGCUAUCAGAUGAGCCUAGGUCGGAUUAGCUAGUUUGUGGGGUAAAGGCCUACCAAGGCGACGAUCCGUAACUGGUCUGAGAGGAUGAUCAGUCACACUGGAACUGAGACACGGUCCAGACUCCUACGGGAGGGAGCAGUGGGGAACAUUGGACGAUGGGCGAAAGCCUGAUCCAGCCAUGCCGCGUGAGUGAAGAAGGUCUUCGGAUUGUAAAGCACUUUAAGUUGGGAGGAAGGGCAGUAAGUUAAUACCUUGCUGUUUUGACGUUACCAACAGAAUAAGCACCGGCUAACUUCGUG